AUGAACGCUGGCGGCGUGCCUAACACCUGCAAGUCGAGCGGCAGCGAGGGGUGCUUGCACCCUGUCGGCGAGCGGCGGACGGCUGAGUAGCGCGUGGGAACGUGCCCCAAAGUGAGGAAUAACUGCCCGAAAGGAUAGCUAAUACCGCAUAUUAUCUUCGGAUCAAAGGAUUUAUCCGCUUUGGGAGCGGCUCGCGUCGGAUUAGGUAGUUGGUGAGGUAAUGGCUCACCAAGCCGACGAUCCGUAGCUGGUCUGAGAGGAUGACCAGCCAGACUGGAACUGAGACACGGUCCAGACUCCUACGGGAGGCAGCAGUGAGGAAUCUUCCACAAUGGGCGAAAGCCUGAUGGAGCAACGCCGCGUGCAGGACGAAGGCCUUCGGGUUGUAAACUGCUUUUAUAAGUGAGGAAUAUGACGGUAACUUAUGAAUAAGGAUCGGCUAACUACGUG
rnacentral:rRNA from 1 species